UUCGCUACGGUAGCACGGAGCACAUCACAAACUUUACCGAGCACCGUGUAUCUGCAAGCUGUGGUUUGCAUUUCAAGUUUCAACGGAAUUAAGUUUUAAUAAAUCAAUUAUAGUUGAAUUAUUUGCUAUAACGUUGAAUAUUCUUAAAGUCAAAAUGGUUUUAGCAGAACGCAACUCAGAAAAUGUUAGAAAUGGUCGAAGAUCAAGAGGUCCCAGCCCUAAUGGACAGACGGAAUCUUCAAGCGAAGAAGACGGAGUUCCAGCUGAAAAGAUACGUGUUGGCCGAGACUUUCAAGUUAUAGUACCAGAAUUUGUUCCUAUCAACGAACGCAGACUGGAUCAAUGCCCUGAUAGAGCUUUGCUGGUUUGGUCUCCUACUACUGAUAUACCAGAUCAGAAAUUGGAUGAAUAUAUAAUAUUAGCAAAAGAAAAAUAUGGGUAUAAUGGUGAGCAGGCUUUGGGAAUGUUAUUUUGGCAUAAACAUAACUUAGAACGUGCAGUAUUAGAUUUAGCAAAUUUUACACCAUUUCCUGAUGAGUGGACUGUUGAAGAUAAGGUGUUAUUUGAACAAGCAUUUCAAUUUCAUGGGAAGAGUUUUCACCGUAUUCGACAAAUGUUGCCUGAUAAGUCAAUUGCCAGUCUUGUAAAAUAUUAUUAUAGUUGGAAAAAGACAAGAACUAGGACAUCAUUAAUGGAUAGACAGGCAAGAAAAUUAACAAGCGGUGGGAAAGAAGGGGAAAAUGGCAGCGAGAAUGGAAGUGAGUUAGGCUCAAAUACAGACAGCGAAUCUGAAGAAAAAAAAUGGACGAUCCACCGCGGAAUACGUCGUGGAAAGAACCAAGCUGUGCCAGGAAGCCAAAGCACUGACGCUAAGGCCCCAUCCGACUCGGAAAACGCCCCUCAGGUUCAGGGCUCGUGUAGCAACUGUGGCGUCGCUUGCAAUAGUGUACGUGCGACUCCCAAGGGACACGCGUGUCAUAGCUGCUAUCUGCACUGGAGGCGCACUGGUGUAGCAAGACCUCUAAGUUCUAUGCCAGGUCGUACAAACAAAAGAAAACCACCUCGCGGAUUGGUUGUAAAUCAUGAUGACUUGGCAGCAUUGGCUGGUCAACCAAAUCAAGCUAACAAUAGCUUACAAGCUAUCGACACAGAGAUUGUUAGCCUAAAACGUCAAAUACAGUCAAACAAGCAACAAGUAAGUGCUUUAAAACGUAAGACAACUGAUGGGAUAGAUGAUUUACGACCACCAGAAGUAUCCAAUCGUAUAAAUGCACGAUGGACGAAUGAUGAACUACUGUUAGCCGUUCAAGGAGUUAGAAAAUAUGGCAAAGAUUUCUCUGCAAUCGCUGAUGUAAUUGGUACUAAAACAGAAGCACAUUUACGGUCAUUCUUCGUAAAUUAUCGACGAAGGUACAAUCUAGAUGCCGUUCUAAAAGAAUAUGAAGCUGAGAAUGGUCCGAUACUAAUAGAUGAUGAUAAAGAAGAAAAGAUGGAUGUCGACCAACCAAAUGAAGUGGCAGAGUCGUCACAAAAAGCAAAAGCAUCAAGUGGUUUAGGACAAACUGCAAAAUAACGAAUGAUUCUACUAAAUACCAAAUGUGACAAAGUUAAUUUCAGGGUUUCUGAAAGUCGACGUUAAUACAUAAAAAAGAUACUUGUUUGGAUUAAUUUUUCGAUUUUACACGUACUUUUUGUUAGUAAUUAUAGAUACGAGGGUCUUAUGAUGUAAAUCACUUUUUCUACGUUAGAAGUAAUUUUUUAUUUAUACCAAAUAAAACAGAAGAAUGAUAUAAAUUAGUAAAAAUUAACAACAAAAAUAUUAAUGACAAUAUUUCAUUUUUAAUUAUGAAAUUAUGUAAGUAAUUUUUUAUUGUGAGAUGAUUAUGUUAUUUAAUACUAAAAUUAUAUCAAAAGACAUUGUUUUAUCAUGACAGAAUAAUUGAAAAACAGAAUUGUCAUUUUAAAAUUAUUUAAAGUGAUUAUGAAGAUUCACCUAUUAUGUACUUCUUAAUUUAAAGGUCUCAUGAAAAGUAUGCGCAUUGCAUCACAAUGGCAGAUUUAUUAUUAAUUUUACAAAAUCGUAAUAUACUUAUCAUAUAUAACAGAAAUAUCAAUGAUUUAUAUUUCUGAUUUCGUUAACAGAAUUAAUUGUAAUUAUAAUUUAGCGAUAAUUUUAUGUAUUGUAAUCACAUUUACUUAUUUGUAAUGAUAUCUGUAAUUAUAUUAUUUAACAACCUAUUCAACAAGUAUCAAUAUUUUUAAUAUUAAUGCACUUUUUAAUAAUAAUACAUAAAGAAUAUGCAUAUGUGCAAGACAUUUGCAAAAGGAAUCGUUCUUAAAUAACUAAUUAAAUAUGCUUUGUUAGUGGUAUUGAAUGUUAUUAAUUACAGACAAGCCUCGUCAAGGAAUAUAAUUGGACAUAUCAAUGAGAAAACGUGUCAAGUGUACAGUGAAUAUAUGCUUUUAUUUGAAUAAACUAUCAAAGAAUGACUGUAAUCUCUAAAUGCUAUGUAUAAAGACUAUUAACAUUA